AUGGGCAGUCGGCCAAGGGAAGGGGAGGGGCGGGGCGGCCGCCGCCAACCCACCAGUGGGCCAACGACAUGGUGGGGCGAGCGGGUCCACCGUCGGUCGGCUGUCGCCGACGGGCCAAGGAGAAGGAGAGAAGAGGGGAGAGAAGAGAGAGAGAAGAAGAGGAAAGAGAGAAGAGAGAGCUCACCGCUGUCGGAGCUCGCCGCCGUGCCGUCGGAG
rnacentral:lncRNA from 1 species